rnacentral:rRNA from 1 species
UACAGAGGGUGCAAGCGUUGUCCGGAAUCACUGGGCGUAAAGGGCGCGUAGGUGGCCUGUUAAGUAGGAGGUGAAAUCCUGGGGCUUAACCUCAGGGCUGCCUUCUAGACUGUCCGGCUCGAGCACAGUAGAGGCAGGUGGAAUUCCCGGUGUAGCGGUGAAAUGCGCAGAUAUCAGGAAGAACACCAAUGGCGAAGGCGGCCAACUGGUCCGGUUCUGACGCUGAGGCGCGAAAGCGUGGGGAGCAAACAGG